GGCGUAGGAGUCAGACAGCUAGCACUAGGGCCGCAACCGAGCGACACGGAGCUGCCUUAGAAAGGUGGAGGUGGCUCACGGCAACUGCUGGAACAAGAAGAGAGAAGAAGAAAAUAGAAGGAAGAAGAAGAAAGAAGAAG